GAGACACCCCGAUAGAGCAAGACUUGCUUUAGUGGGGCUUUGGUACUCACCAAGUCUGCCCCUUGAGUGUGUCACU
rfam:Myotis lucifugus cont2.8164, whole genome shotgun sequence.